rnacentral:tRNA from 1 species
UGGGGUUUAGUUAAAUAUAAUAAUAUUAGUCUGUCUAACUGAAGUUAUGGAGUAGAAGGUCCAUAACCCUAA